UACGUAGGGACCAAGCGUUGUUCGGAUUUACUGGGCGUAAAGGGUGUGUAGGUGGCGCUGUAAGUCAGGUGUGAAAUUUCGGAGCUUAACUCCGAAACUGCAUUUGAUACUGCGGUGCUUGAGGACUGGAGAGGAGACUGGAAUUCAUGGUGUAGCAGUGAAAUGCGUAGAGAUCAUGAGGAAGACCAGUGGCGAAGGCGGGUCUCUGGGCCACUACUGACGCUGAGGAGCGAAAGCGUGGGGAGCGAACAGG
rnacentral:rRNA from 1 species